UACGUAGGGGGCAAGCGUUGUCCGGAAUCAUUGGGCGUAAAGCGCGUGUAGGCGGCCCUGCAAGUCGGGUGUGAAAUCCCACGGCUCAACCGUGGAAGUGCACUCGAAACUGCAGGGCUAGAGUCCUGGAGAGGAAGGUGGAAUGCUUGGUGUAGAGGUGAAAUUCGUAGAUAUCAAGCGGAACACCGGUGGCGAAGGCGGCCUUCUGGACAGUGACUGACGCUGAGACGCGAAAGCGUGGGGAGCAAACAGG
rnacentral:rRNA from 1 species